AACGAACGCUGGCGGCAGGCUUAACACAUGCAAGUCGAACGCCCCGCAAGGGGAGUGGCAGACGGGUGAGUAACGCGUGGGAACGUGCCCUAAGGUACGGAACAACUCCGGGAAACUGGAGCUCAUACCGUAUGUGACCGAGAGGUGAAAGAUUUAUCGCCUUAGGAUCGGCCCGCGUCAGAGUAGCUAGUUGGUGGGGUAAUGGCCUACCAAGGCGACGAUCUGUAGCUGUUCUGAGAGGAAGAUCAGCCACACUGGGACUGAGACACGGCCCAGACUCCUACGGGAGGCAGCAGUGGGGAAUCUUGGACAAUGGGCGCAAGCCUGAUCCAGCCAUGCCGCGUGAGUGAUGAAGGCCUUAGGGUUGUAAAGCUCUUUCGUCCGGGACGAUAAUGACGGUACCGGAAGAAGAAGCCCCGGCUAACUUCGUGCCAGCAGCCGCGGUAACAC
rnacentral:rRNA from 1 species